rfam:Gossypium arboreum cultivar AKA8401 contig_11971_3, whole genome shotgun sequence.
AAACCGUGGUGAGGGCAUCUUCUCAAUAAAUCCUUAUACCUCUCCCAUGCAUCAUAUAAUGUCUCUAAAUUGACUUGCACAAAGGAAGAGAUGUAGAUCCUCAACUU